UGGGGAAUAUUGCACAAUGGACGGAAGUCUGAUGCAGCAACGCCGCGUGCGGGAUGACGGCCUUCGGGUUGUAAACCGCUUUUUCUCAUGACGAAGUUUUUUGACGGUAGUGGGGGAAGAAGCACCGGCUAACUACGUGCCAGCAGCCGCGGUGAUACGUAGGGUGCGAGCGUUGUCCGGAAUUAUUGGGCGUAAAGAGCUUGUAGGCGGUUUGUCGCGUCGAUAGUGCAAACUCAGUGCUUAACGCUGAGCCUGCUGUUGAUACGGGCAGACUAGAGGAAGGUAGGGGAGAAUGGAAUUCCCGGUGGAGCGGUGGGAUGCGCAGAUAUCGGGAGGAACACCGGUGGCGAAGGCGGUUCUCUGGGCCUUUCAUGACGCUGAGAAGCGAAAGCGUGGGGAGCGAACAGG
rnacentral:rRNA from 1 species